UUUUGGACACAGAUCAAAUACAUCUCAGCUAAUAUCAUAGAAAGUUGUUUUGUUUUGUUCAAUUUGUUUGAACUUUGCAUUUUGGGGAAAUUGAGCACUUACAGGAGGCUUAAGGGACUUAGCUCAAAUGCAGCUGAAAAUAUUCUAUAUUAGAAUAUAUAAUAGGUAAAUCAUUUUAACCUUCCAAGAAUUCAAACAACAUUGUUUUAUAAAAAGUAUUAUCUCUUGCUUAUAGGAGAGGUAUUCUCAUGAUAAAUACUAAAUUAGUAUAUAGAUAUUAUAGAAUUAAAUGUUUAUAAAAGUACACUGAAAUUUCAUUUUUGCUAGAUGAUUUCUAUCUGAUGAAAGAUUUCUACAAGAAAUAGCAUACCUAAAAAAUUAUUUUGGAAGCAAACAUCAGUAGUUUCAUUUGUAUGUAUUUCUUUUCAUUCACAUAAAAGACUUUUAAUGUUCCUGAGCAUGGCUUUGUAAUCAAAACU
rnacentral:lncRNA from 10 species